rnacentral:rRNA from 1 species
UACGUAGGUGACAAGCGUUGUCCGGAUUUACUGGGCGUAAAGAGCGCGCAGGCGGUCGAUCAAGUCGAGUGUGAAAGCCCCCGGCUCAACUGGGAAGGGUCAUUCGAUACUGAUCGACUCGAAGGCAGGAGAGGGUAGUGGAAUUCCCGGUGUAGUGGUGAAAUGCGUAGAUAUCGGGAGGAACACCAGUGGCGAAGGCGACUACCUGGCCUGUUCUUGACGCUGAGGCGCGAAAGCUAGGGGAGCAAACGGG